ACUUAGACUCAUUCUAAAAAACAUUUACAAAUAGAAACUAUAGUUAAUCACUAAAACGUGACCAAUCAAAAUGUUAAAAUUGUUGGAAAAUAUAUGAUUGGAUGGAUACAUGUGAUCUCAAAGUAGUGAAGAACUUCUUCAAAAAGACAAAACAGCAAAGGCCACAAAGAAAGUUGAUAAGGUAUCUUACACCAAAAUUAAAGUCCUCUGCACGAUACAAGCCACUGAAAUAAAAUUUAAGGCCAAGGGAUAGUUUUAAAGAUAUUUUCAACCUAUAUAAAACAUACAUGAUAUGCAUUAAACAUAUAUGAUAUGAUAUAUUUUUAAAAAGAAGAUCUGGGGGGGAAAAGGAGCACCAAUACUUAAGAGGUAGGCAAAGGAAGAGAAGCCUGCAAAAAUAUGGGGAAAAAGUAGCAAUUUAGAUAGAAAAGAACCUAAAAAAUAACCUGUAUCAUAGGACCCCUCAAAAUUGUGUUUUGAGAAAGGGAAAACACCCACGGUUUCAAAAUUCAGAAGUUUUAAGACUUUAGAAAAAGAGGUAUAACCUCUAACAUCCUCAGGGGGCGCUGACCAGCUCAUCAGCCUCUGAGCCUAUCUCUCCUGGUUCAAAGCCCCUAGGGUUCUAAUCCUCAUGCUCAAUCUGAUCCGAGCCUUCUGGCACACGCCACUCUUCCAAAUUACAGCUCCCUCUUCCUGACAACUGAUGCUCUUUUCUAUACCAGCUUCUCCUUUCUGCUUCAUUGUAACCCUAUCUGCCCAUCUGAAUCCUUCUCCUUGUGGGUGAGAGAAUAGUGAGGGCAAUGAAAGCACAUCUUAAUACCUUUGAAAAUGGAAUUUUUACUUCUUUGCAGGAAAGCUGUUGCAGCAGCAGCAGCAGAUCACUAACAGAUAUGCCUGGGAGAGAUUCAGGCUUCGUUCCUGAUCUAAAACUUAAAGCUGGGAAAAGAUAGUCUCAAAAGACAGCAAAAAUGUGUGAAGGGAAUUUCAGAAGCUGUCACUCUGGGCACAUCCUAACUUCAAUAUCAACACACCUGGUGAGUUUAAAGGAACAUAAUGCUAUUCAUCACAAUGAUGGGAACAGUUUUUGAAAAGAAAGA
ensembl:lncRNA